rnacentral:sRNA from 1 species
CAAAACCUGGCUCUGAUACCA